rnacentral:sRNA from 3 species
AUAGCGCACCGACCGGGAGGGUGAGAACCCUCGACAGGCUUCGACAAAACGCCUGCGUUUGGGACCGCCAACGGCGGCCCGCAGGGUGAGCGCAGCGAAUCAAUCCCUCCCUCACCGCCA